rnacentral:rRNA from 1 species
AUUGAACGCUGGCGGCAGUCCUAACACAUGCAAAUCGAGCGGAGCGGCGGACGGUUGAGUAAUGCCUAGGAAUCUGCCUGGUAGUGGGGGAUAACGUCCGGAAAAGGGCGAUAAUCCCGCCUACUAUAAUAUGAGCCUAGGUCGGCUUAGCUAGUUGGUGGGGUAAAGGCCUACCAAGGCGACGAUCCGUAACUGGUCUGAGAGGAUGAUCAGUCACACUGGAACUGAGACACGGUCCAGACUCCUACGGGAGGCAGCAGUGGGGAAUAUUGGACAAUGGGCGAAAGCCGGAUCCAGCCAUGCCGCGUGUGUGAAGAAGGUCUUCGGAUUGUAAAGCACUUUAAGUUGGGAGGCGUUACCAACAGAAUAAGCACCGGCUAACUUCGUGCCAGCAGCCGCGGUAAUUC